rnacentral:rRNA from 1 species
AACGAACGCUGGCGGCAUGCCUAACACAUGCAGGUCGAACGAGACCUUCGGGUCUAGUGGCGCACGGGUGCGUAACGCGUGGGAACCUGCCCUUAGGUUCGGAAUAACUCCCCGAAAGGGGUGCUAAUACCGGAUAAUGUCUUCGGACCAAAGAUUUAUCGCCUUUGGAUGGGCCCGCGUUGGAUUAGCUAGUUGGUAGGGUAAAAGCCUACCAAGGCGACGAUCCAUAGCUGGUCUGAGAGGAUGAUCAGCCACACUGGGACUGAGACACGGCCCAGACUCCUACGGGAGGCAGCAGUGGGGAAUUUUGGACAAUGGGCGAAAGCCUGUUCCCGCAAUGCCGCGUGAGUGAUGAAGGCCUUAGGUUUGUAAAGCUUUUUUACCCGGGAUGAUAAUGGCAGUACCGGGAAAAAAAGCCCCGGCGAACCCCGU